CGAUAGCGGAUAGUACCGUGAGGGAAUGGUGAAAAGUACCGCGGGAGCGGAGUGAAAGAGUACCUGAAACCGUGUGCCUACAAGCCGUGGGAGCGUCGCGUGGAGAUUUCGGUCUUCACGUCGUGACUGCGUGCCUUUUGAAGAAUGAGCCUGCGAGUUUGCGGCAUGUUGCGAGGUUAACCCGUGUGGGGGAGCCGUAGCGAAAGCGAGUCCGAAGA
rfam:Streptomyces sp. NRRL F-6602 F6602contig5347.1, whole genome shotgun sequence.